ACAGUUCAGUCCAGCAGAAGAGCUCAAACCCAGAGUCCAGCUGUGUGUCUAUCAAGAGUAACCGCUCUAUGCCUCUGUCAAUACAUUUCAAGACUGAAGACACACAACCUGAUCUCAGGUCAGUCCAGGAGAAGAGAUCAAAACCAGAGUCCAGCUGUGUGUCUAUGACGAGUAACUGCUCUAUGACUGAGCCAGAACAUUUGAUGAGUGCAGACAAACGGCCUGAUCUCAGGUCAGUCCAGGAGAAGAGAUCAAAACCAGAGUCCAGCUGUGUGUCUAUGACGAGUAACUGCUCUAUGACUGAGCCAGAACAUUUGAUGAGUGCAGACAAACGGC
rnacentral:lncRNA from 1 species